rnacentral:rRNA from 1 species
UACAGAGGUCUCAAGCGUUGUUCGGAUUCAUUGGGCGUAAAGGGUGCGUAGGUGGCGCCGUAAGUCAGGUGUGAAAUCUCGGGGCUCAACCCCGAAACUGCACUUGAUACUGCGGUGCUCGAGUACUGGAGAGGAGAUUGGAAUUUACGGUGUAGCAGUGAAAUGCGUAGAUAUCGUAAGGAAGACCAGUGGCGAAGGCGAAUCUCUGGACAGUUACUGACACUGAGGCACGAGGGCCAGGGGAGCAAACGGG